rnacentral:rRNA from 1 species
UACGUAGGGACCAAGCGUUGUUCGGAUUUACUGGGCGUAAAGGGCGCGUAGGCGGCAAUUCAAGUCAGCUGUGAAAUCUCCGGGCUUAACUCGGAACGGUCAGCUGAUACUGCUUUGCUAGAGUACAGAAGGGGCAAUCGGAAUUCUUGGUGUAGCGGUGAAAUGCGUAGAUAUCAAGAGGAACACCUGAGGUGAAGACGGGUUGCUGGGCUGAUACUGACGCUGAGGCGCGAAAGCUAGGGGAGCGAACGGG